AUUGAACGCUGGCGGCAGGCCUAACACAUGCAAGUCGAGCGAGCGGCGGACGGGUGAGUAAUGUCUGGGAAACUGCCUGAUGGAGGGGGAUAACUACUGGAAACGGUAGCUACUACCGCAUACCAUCAGAUGUGCCCAGAUGGGAUUAGCUAGUAGGUGGGGUAACGCCUCACCUAGGCGACUAUCCCUCGCUGGUCUGAGAGGAUGACCAGCCACACUGGAACGGAGACAGGGUCAAGACUCCAAGGGGGGGCAGCAGUGGGGAAUAUUGCAAAAUGGGCGAAAGCCUGAUGCGGCCAUGCGGGGGGUGUGAAGAAGGCCUUCGGGUUGAAAAGCACGUUCAGCGGGGAGGCGUUACCCGCAGAGAAAGCACCGGCUAACUCCGUGCCAGCAGCCGCGGUAAUAC
rnacentral:rRNA from 1 species